AGAGUUUGAUCCUGGCUCAGGACGAACGCUGGCGGCGUGCCUAAUACAUGCAAGUCGAGCGAGCUUGCCUAGAUGAUUUUAGUGCUUGCACUAAAUGAAACUAGAUACAAGCGAGCGGCGGACGGGUGAGUAACACGUGGGUAACCUGCCCAAGAGACUGGGAUAACACCUGGAAACAGAUGCUAAUACCGGAUAACAACACUAGACGCAUGUCUAGAGUUUGAAAGAUGGUUCUGCUAUCACUCUUGGAUGGACCUGCGGUGCAUUAGCUAGUUGGUAAGGUAACGGCUUACCAAGGCAAUGAUGCAUAGCCGAGUUGAGAGACUGAUCGGCCACAUUGGGACUGAGACACGGUCCAAACUCUUACGGGAGGCAGCAGUAGGGAAUCUUCCACAAUGGACGAAAGUCUGAUGGAGUAACGCCGCGUGAGUGAAGAAGGGUUUUCGGCUCGUAAAGCUCUGUUGGUAGUGAAGAAAGAUAGAGGUAGUAACUUGGCCUUUAUUUGACGGUAAUUACUUAGAAAGUCACGGCUAACUACGUGCCAGCAGCCGCGGUAAUAUGUAGGUGGCAAGCGUUGUCUGGAUUUAUUGGGCGUAAAGCGAGUGCAGGCUGCUCAAUACGUCUGAUGUGAAAGCCUUCGGCUCACCCGGACAAUCGCAUCAGAAACUGUUGAACUUGAGUGCAGAAGAGGAGAGUGGAACUCCAUGUGUAGCGGUGGAAUGCGUAGAUAUAUGGAAGAACACCAGUGGCGAAGGCGGCUGUCUGGUCUGCAACUGACGCUGAGGCUCGAAAGCAUGGGUAGCGAACAGGAUUAGAUACCCUGGUAGUCCAUGCCGUAAACGAUGA
rnacentral:rRNA from 1 species